ACUAGCGCCGCACCCGCUUCAACUGCCUGCAACCGCCGCUGAAUUCCCUCAUCCCCACGCUGAGAGGACGAGAAAGGCGCCCUGGGGAAGGCUCUCGGGAAAGCCCGCAGCCGCUGGACGCGGGAGGACAUGGAGGUGGACUGACUGCCCCAUGUCCUUCAAAGUUAAUUGCAAAAGAGUUCAUUGCAAGAGAUGAUGUGCUGGUGGAAAGAUAGAUGCUGCUACUUCUUUCCUUAGUGGGGUUUUACAGGCAGAUAAUGACUGCUUUGCAGCUCAUUUGUGACUCUGAUUCCACUGAGCGGUAAUGUCAUUAGAUCAGAUACAAGAGUAAGGAGACAGCAUGGCAGAAACGCACGUGUGUGUCUGUGGAUUUACUGCCUCAAGAUGGUUAUGUUGGAGGAUUCCAAUAGUUCUACUGGAUGUGGAGCCAGAAAUUGUGUGGAAUGCCUGGUGUUUCUUUCAGUUCUUGGAUGCCAAUCUGAGGCCCCUGGCAGCUCGUGGUUGGCAAGAGCACGAACCCGUGGUCAGAUGCAACGUCCUGCCUCAUGCAUUUUCCUC
rnacentral:lncRNA from 1 species